rnacentral:rRNA from 1 species
GAUGAACGCUGGCGGCGUGCUUAACACAUGCAAGUCGAACGGCAAGGCCCUGCUUGCUGGGUAUUCGAGUGGCGAACGGGUGAGUAACACGUGGGUGAUCUGCCCUGCACUUCGGGAUAAGCCUGGGAAACUGGGUCUAAUACCGGAUAGGAGCCAUUUUUAGUGUGAUGGUUGGAAAGUUUUUUCGGUGUUGGAUGAGCUCGCGGCCUAUCAGCUGGUUGGUGGGGUAAUGGCCUACUAAGGCGGCGACGGGAAGCCGGCCAGGGAGGGUGGACGGCCACAGUGAGACUGAGGUGAGGCCCAGACUCCGACGAGAGGCAGCAGGGGGGAAUAUUGCACAAUGGGGGCGGGCCUGAUGCAGCGACGCCGCGUGGGGGAAGACGGGCUUCUCGGGGUAGACUCCAAUCACAAUGGAAGAAGGUUUUUGUGACGGUACCUAGAGAAGAAGCACCGGCUAACUACGUG